GAUGAAGAACGUAGCGAAAUGCGAUAAGUAAUGUGAAUUGCAGAAUUCAGUGAAUCAUCGAAUCUUUGAACGCACAUUGCGCCCGCCAGUAUUCUGGCGAGCAUGCCUGUUCGAGCGUCAUUUCAACCAUCAAGCCCCAGGCUUGUGUUGGAGCCCUGCGGCUGCCGCAGCCUCCCAAAACCAGUGGCGGGCUCGCUAUCACACCGAGUGCAGUAGUUUACUCUUCGCUCAGGGCGUGUGGCGGGUGCUAGCCGUGAAACCCCCAACUUCUCAAGGUUGACCUCGGAUCAGGUAGGAAUACCCGCUGAACUUAAGCAUAUCAAUAAGCGAGGA
rnacentral:misc_RNA from 1 species